GUAAAAUGUAAAUUCCAUAAGCCUAUCGCCGUUUGUUAAGUUGUGUUGUUGCUGGAUUUCUGGAGGUUUAGAGUACUUGUAUGAUAAGAUAGAAUAGCGCUAUAAUAAUAAGGUACUCUGUACAAUAUCUUCUACAUACCCACAUUAGUAAACCGGUAAUUCCAUCUACAAAAUCGGUCUUAUCAAAACGACUUGUCUCCACUUGUUUAUAAUUAUUUUGACUUCGCUUCUUUAUAUUGGUGGAUAUAUGCUGUUGGUCUGUUGCAAUUUGAGUCUGCAUUAUUGUCGUCGACACGUUUUUCGAAAUACGUAAUCAACGAUGGCGAAGUAUAUUCUGCUGCUGGGUUUAUUGGCUGGUAUUCAUACAGCCUCCGCCCUGAACUGCUUUGUAUGCGUGGAUCCGAAUGAUCCAAACUGCCUAACGGUAACACAGACCCAGUGCGAUUCUUCCAGACAAGAUACAUGCCUUAAAUAUUACGGAAAUUUCAAAGAUCGAAACGGAAACUUAUAUACAGAUCGUACCAUCCGGACUUGCGCAAGUUACGCUGAUUUGCGCCGAAUCUCGUAUAAGAUCGACUAUGAUCGCUGUGCCUACGUAGUCGACGGAUAUGACCAACCAACCGGGAAUACCUACACCGGGACAUUCUGUCUUUGUGACGAUAACCUGUGCAAUAGUUCAUCCUAUGCACAAUACUCCUUUGUUCUUCUUGCGAUCGGCUCAAUAUUUUCUGUGAUGCGCACGCUUUUUUAGCUCAGCGAUUUUUGUAUCUACAUACAUUUAUUCCUUUCAAUACUCUUCCUGAAAGCAGUCCUCUCUCUUACGUGCUACGAAAAGAAAAUGCUACAACGAAAUUAAUGAUGAAAACAAAAUCAUCGCAAUUGA